GACGAACGCUGGCGGCGUGCUUAACACAUGCAAGUCGAACGGAAAGGCCCUGCUUUUGUGGGGUGCUCGAGUGGCGAACGGGUGAUUAACACGUGAGUAACCUGCCCUUGACUUUGGGAUAACUUCAGGAAACUGGGGCUAAUACCGGAUAGGAGCUCCUGCCGCAUGGUGGGGGUUGGAAAGUUUCGGCGGUUGGGGAUGGACUCGCGGCUUAUCAGCUUGUUGGUGGGGUAGUGGCUUACCAAGGCUUUGACGGGUAGCCGGCCUGAGAGGGUGACCGGCCACAUUGGGACUGAGAUACGGCCCAGACUCCUACGGGAGGCAGCAGUGGGGAAUAUUGCACAAUGGGCGGAAGCCUGAUGCAGCAACGCCGCGUGCGGGAUGACGGCCUUCGGGUUGUAAACCGCUUUCGCCUGUGACGAAGCGUGAGUGACGGUAAUGGGUAAAGAAGCACCGGCUAACUACGUG
rnacentral:rRNA from 1 species